AAUAAUAAUCUUACUUACAUACACACAAGAACUAGACAAGGUAGAAGAGAUCUAAAUCUAGCCGGAGAGAGGAGAGGAGCCCAGCCGGCCGGCGGCAAGAUGUACAACAACCCUCCGCCACCGCAGGGCAUGUCCUACUACGAGCACGCGCAGAAGCGCCACCAGGAGAAGGGAUGCCUCUACGCGUGCGUGUUCACGGCGCUGUGCUGCUUCUGCUGCUACGAGACGUGCGAGUGCUGCCUCGACUGCCUCUGCUGCUGCUGCAACUAAACCAGCCAUGGCCGCCAUGGCCGCCAUGGACGGAGGCCGCAAGGCGCAGCGGAGAUCCAGGCACCGGCCUCCGCCGCCGCCUUUCAUAAUAAGCAUAUGUGUCUAGUGUCUUAGCUCGAUGAGAAGUGUAUCAGAAGUUGCUAUAAUACUAUCUGUCCAUCAUGGUUUGUGUUGUUGUUGCUGCUACUGCUCUACCAUUUUAAUUUCAUUAGCAUCAGAUUAUGAUUCUCACCAAAUCACUGUGUCGUUUUCCUA